CAAAUAUUAGAAAGGUCAACAAUUAGUAACAUUCUGUGCUAUCCUAGUAACACCCAUAUUUUGGCCAAAAUUUAUGUAGGUAUGUAUGAAC